rnacentral:rRNA from 1 species
CGUAGGUGGCAAGCGUUGUCCGGAAUUAUUGGGCGUAAAGGGCGCGUAGGCGGCACUUUAAGUCAGAUGUGGAAACCCGGGGCUCAACCCCGGAGGUGCAUUUGAAACUGGAGAGCUUGAGUGCGGGAGAGGUAAGUGGAAUUCCUAGUGUAGCGGUGAAAUGCGUAGAUAUUAGGAGGAACACCAGUGGCGAAGGCGACUUACUGGACCGUAACUGACGCUGAGGCGCGAAAGCGUGGGGAGCAAACAGGAUUAGAUACCCUGGUAGUCCACGCUGUAAACGAUGGAUACUAGGUGUGGGAGGUAUCGACCCCUUCCGUGCCGCAGUAAACGCAAUAAGUAUCCCGCCUGGGGAGUACGGCCGCAAGGUUG